UUGAUCCUGCAUGGCUCAGAUACCCGGAAGGCUUCAGAACCCAGGCAGCAUGUGAUCAAGGCUAGAGACUUUUACAGUACCAGGACCCGGGGUUUGAAUACUGUAUGCAUAACUUGGGUCAAGUCCUUUAACUUUCCUGAUUCUCAUUUCCCUUCUCUGUGAAAUGGGGGAAUUCGAUGAUCUCUAAUCUAAAUCUCGGUCAAGUUGAAAGCACACAGCUUGGGAGUCCUCAGAUGGAGUGUUCAAAUCCUGCCUCUUUCCCUCACUGCCUGUGUGACCUUGGGAAUAUUAAUUUGGCAGCUAAGUGCUGUGUGACUAUAGUGGGGAGAAGCUUGAAGUUGGGAGACCCACCAGUUGGCUAUUGCAGUAAUCCAGGUGUGAGGCAAUGGCAGACUGCACGGGAUGGUAGCAAUAUCCGAGGGAACAAGGUCAACUCAAAAGAACGAGGAGGUACCAAUUAUAAUUUCAGGUAUGGAAACAGUAAAAAUAGAUAUGAUUAAAAGAGAUAAAAA